rnacentral:rRNA from 1 species
GAUGAACGCUAGCUACAGGCUUAACACAUGCCAGUCGCGGGGCAGCAUGGGGGUUGCUUGCAAUCCCCGAUGGCGACCGGCGCACGGGUGAGUAACGCGUAUCCAACCUGCCCUUCACCACGGGAUAACCCGGCGAAAGUCGGACUAAUACCGUAUGUUGUCCAUUGACGGCCUCCGAUUUGGACGAAAGGCUUGGCGGUGAGGGAUGGGGAUGCGUCCGAUUAGCCAGACGGCGGGGUAACGGCCCACCGUGGCUACGAUCGGUAGGGGUUCUGAGAGGAAGGUCCCCCACACUGGAACUGAGACACGGUCCAGACUCCUACGGGAGGCAGCAGUGAGGAAUAUUGGUCAAUGGGCGUAAGCCUGAACCAGCCAAGUAGCGUGCAGGAUGACGGCCCUAUGGGUUGUAAACUGCUUUUAUGCGGGGAUAAAGUGGCCCACGUGUGGGCUUUUGCAGGUACCGCAUGAAUAAGGACCGGCUAAUUCCGUG